CACGCGAGCCGCGUAUCGAAUCCGGGUGAAGGUCUGACUCUUUUACCAGCGUUGGAAGCGGUCGGGCCAGGUGUAGUCUCGAACGUGGUCGUGAAUUUGUGGUCGUCGAGACUCUGUCGGUUCGAAAGAACGAUUCCGUCGUCGCGCGAUCGAAUCGUUGCGUUGCGUACGAUAAAACCAGCACGAUGCAAAGAUCUUUCGCAAUAAUUUUCAACGUCUGCCGCUUUCCAUUGGGUUAAUCGACAUUUCGGUGUGUUUCGCGUCUACUUUUCAAUUAUCCACGUGCUUGGUAACGCAAAAACCGCACGGCCGCCCGGUUUUUACGUUAAUUGGACGCUCGCUCGAUACGCUGUUUAACGGCGAUCGUACCAAUCACUGUGUACCUCGCGUCGAUCGUAAUUAACGUUUAAAUGACGUGGCAGAUACUUGGCCGUGCGUCAAGACAACGUUCGACCGAUGAAACCUCUCGAUAAAACGAUUAAGAAGAAAGUUUUCUUGGAAGGAAGGAAGGAAGGAGAAAAGGGAACGGGGAUCGCUGAUCGCGUAACGAUACGCUUACGUUCGUACCACUCGACAAGAUUUUUUAUUUCGGUAUGACCUGUGCCGACCUAGAGAGUAAAUACUCGGAUGUGCACGGUUCGAUUACGUAAAGCUUAUAAGCGGUCUCACGGAGCAGAUUAACCGGAAAAAGUUAGACGCCAUCGAUGCCAGUAAUUUGCCAAGGUCGUAAGGUGUCGAGAUGUUACGAUCUCCCGCUGUAAACCGAAUCUAGGACAUCCUUGGACACAGUGUUCUCCGUAAAUCAAGUCUUACUGUUUCUCAGGUAUUAUUACAUUCCCUUGUGGUUUGGAUCGAGCAAUUUCUAACGUGGUAUCGCGUCCUCGACGAUAUAAACUUCCAGGUUUUCGGUAUAUUACCACGUUCUCCAGAGUCCAGGGUCGAGUUUUGAGACUUCGGUAUAAGUAGCAGUUUGUUCCAGUUCUCGGUAUCGUAGGAAUGGGAAUUCGAACGGACGAAGCAAGACUGAGAGAACGCUUAUGACGGACUAUCGGAAACGAUCGACGAGCGAUUUAAGAAACGCGCAUAAAGCAAGUGCUAAAUGUGUUUCUAGUCGCACGCGCGUCGUGUGUCAGCGGGAAUCGUCCAAGUUGGGAGCGAGAGUCAAAGUUCAAAGAGAAUAGAGUCUGAAAGAAACGUGCCACGUUGAACGAAUCACGAAUAAACUAUUAUCGUAGUAUCUCUGCUUUAUCGUUCGUAUAAUUCUAAUUACUUUAUUUUAUCUGUACCGCGAUAUCUUUCCUGCGCUUCCUACGGUAUUCUUAAAGUAAUAUAUAUACCAAGUUUCCUAGCAAGCUAAAAAUAAAUUUCUUUAUAACGCUACACCUUCCAACAUCCUGCGUGUGGUGCCAAUUGCUCGAGUUUAUUUCAACGUAGCGCCACGUUUCUCCUAAGGCGUGACCCUCCGACUCGAUGUUUGGACAAGCUAAAACUAGCCACCCUUCGUGUAACGACGCGAUCUAUCCUUCGCGUCUGCGUUGUCAUCGAGGAAGACAAAGGUUGGAAUAACAGAUAUACGUACAACUUGAGAUAUACUUGGUUACGCAACAAUCGACUCUUUCCUUUUUCCUUUUUAAUGUCCGGCUGCUAGCCCCGUAUACGACGAUGACUAGCGAGAAGACAACCACGAACGUAAAACUUCUACGGAGGUCCGUUCAAUCGUAGCCGUGAAGCUAUUAGUGGCUGAUUACGGUUAGUCACGACGAUGGUCGUGAAGAAUGAAAUGACGGGAAGAACGACGAAUACAAACUGUACGGUAUCAUUGUGAUAUCGUCGUGAGAAUCAUGGAAGGCCUUUGGUCUUAUUUACCAUUCGCAUCGACUGUUAGUAACGAGGCCGAUGCUCUGUCAGAUACGCGUAAAAGACCACCUCGAUACAUUUACACUUUGCAGAAAUAUUUCAAAACGCCAUAAUAUUAGAACAAUUGAUUGGAAUAAUUGGAUAGACCAGCUACCGCAAGCUACGCAUACCAGCGCACGAGCAAGAAAUCCCGUCUACGAGUAAUCUCAGACGACCUCGUUCCGAUUCUAAGCCAAAGCGGCGAUAAGCAACGAUAAGAUGGAGGAGAAAUAGUCGAAAGCGACGAUCGCUUUGGCGAAAAUGGAGCACGUUUAUCCAUUUCCUCGACCCGUCACUAUUUUUCGCGCGUGACGUUCUGCAAUGGCGAACGCGCGUGCCAUUUGUACGCGCCGUGUAGAAACAAUGCUCGAUAGUCCCCGCAGACAUUUCUGACGUGGAAUCCAGCGCGUUAGUGGCGCGCAAUCCGGUAAGAGUUCGUAGGAGGAGGCCAGAAUUUCUAACGAACGACGAUCGAGCGGAACUACGAUCUACGACACCUACGAAACACCGCUCGUGCCUCGGACUUUUUCUUCGUUCUUCACCGCCGAACUCUUUCGGACACUCGUUCGUUAAACGUUCUAGUACGAUGGGAAUUCAUUGACGUAAAUAAUUACGUGUUCGAAACGACGGAACAGGGAUCUGGAAAAAAGGAAAAGUUACGCAAUUGCGGUUCACCCACACGCGCGUCGUCCCACGUACACCUCAUCGCGUUAAUACGAUUCAUAAGUUCGUUUAAAUGGGAUGUCGGGCGAAACCGUGUUUCCAGGUUACCGAAAACCCGAUCCUAAAUUCCUUGUUUAUUAAUUCCGCGGGUCAAAGACCUGCUCGUGUGCUAUAUUUCCGUUACGUUAGUCGUUCAACGUGAUACUCGGUUCUCCUUAACGAAUCUUGCUCCGUUGAGGUAUAAAUACACGGACUGGUUUAGAAUCUAUUUAAUCUCAUUAAGACGCGCGAGCGCGUUGGUGGUGUUCGUGUACUUGUAAGGGAUGCACGACGACAUAAAGGCUACAGGAAGGUUCACAUAAAUGGCAGCCGAUCAAUUCUCUUGUAUCCAUUUUUGUAACGAGGGUUACUUUAAACAAACCACAGGACUUUACCGCCUUUCACCCCUUGAUUCGUCCCUUAAAGCGGGUCGCAGCAAUAAUGAAACGAAGUAAGACGAGUGCCCUGGUUGUUCUCUGGUCUCGAGGAAAUCGAUCGAUCCCCUAAGGCCACGGAUGUACGCGUCCGGAGAAAAAGGAACUUUGAACUCAGCAGCGUCCGUUCUACGUUCGAUUCGUUUCACGCUGCCAAUUCACCGUUCUACAAUGUUAGAUAACGUUACUGUGAUCGACGAAACCGCUGAAAACCGUGCGGAUUUUUUUCCCUUGACGCAGGAGGAAACCGGUUUCGCUCGCUCCACGAUGUCGCACGAUUCAGCUCGUAAUGGCAAUCCAUCAUCCAGAGCGUAACCCGUUCCACGUACGUUCCUCUCCACUUCGGUAUGUUAAUAUGAUUCAUAAGUGGUCUAAAUAGGAUGUCGUAAAGUGGGGUCAAACACGACGACCCCUAAGUGGCCGGCUCUUUCUCCUAAUGCACUCUGGGUCACACACGAAUCGACCAACGAUCGAACGUAUCUAAUGGAUAAUUACGCAUCGUUUUCGAGCAACAGAAACGAACUUGCAAAUUUUCGUCGAACAUUCAGCUCGUCGAAGCUAUCAAACGGCACGAGUUAGACGAACGUAGCACCACACCGUUGGCGUUCCAUACCAAAACAUCGAAGAGUUAUUAGAAAGAUUCGACUUACGAAUUUCUUGGUCCGUAUAACUGCGGUAUUUUCCAACCGUUACUACGAUUACGUACAGACUAAGAUUCCGUCGCGGCGAUUCCACCUUAUCAAAGCCUUUUAAAUGCUCGUUCUACGGUUAUCGGUAUUUUUGCACAGCCUAUCAAACAGAACCAAGCAUGUGCCACUAAAUCAUUCGUUACGAUUCGAUAAUAGUCCAAAGCGUUAUCAUCAAUAUCCAGUUUUGAAAUAUCCGACAGAUACAAGCAGAGGAUUAAACGUUUUUUGAAAAUCGCGCUACCAAAAGGACAAAGAAACGUAGUAGCAGCAUACCGACGUCGAAGCACGUUCGCUGUAACCUGAAGUAAUUAAAAGAACGCAUAGCGAAGCGAAACACCGUAAUCAUUCGUUGCUUAUGCAACAGGAUGCGAUGCAUCUUUUGUGUGCAAUUAACCGCAUCGUGGCUGUGUGUUACAACUAUUUAAUAAUGUAUCGAACAUGAUCGGGCGGCAGCCCACGAGAAACAAAUGCACGAAGAAUUGAAUUACAAAGUGGCCUGUAUACAACGGCCACUUAACUUUCAUCGAGGCGUUGCCGAGCGAUUAGCGAAACGAUAUCGCGAUAAUUACUAGCCACGAUGCGAAGGAGUCACGUGGUGCAGCUUUCUCGUCUUUCUCUGAUUUCCAUUAAUUUCUAAUCAAUGAGAAACAAUUACGCGCUAGAUGAUAUCGAACCGUGCUUCACACGUGGGAAACACCGUGCACCCGAUGGGAACCUAUCUUAGGUUAACAUUUUUAACGAGAGAACGUUUGACGAGUCGAUGCAAAAUUAACGCGAAGGAAUAUUAAAAUUCGCUAGAUGAAUUUCGAAGGAAGGAAAAAAUCUCGAAACAUGGGAUUAUUCAUCUUUGUGCGAGUAGCGAGAAAGUUGUUACUCCUUUCUCGGGGCUUUUCAUCGGCGUUCUCUGCUUAAAGAUGCAUCGAUCGUGUCUGAACAGUCACGUUCUUUUUGCUGGUCACGUCACGAACAUCGGGGGGAGAAAAUCGUGACGAGCCGUUCGAGGAAACGGCGGAAAGAAAGGGACCGUACCGAUGAACUUUUCGCGUGUCAGCGAGCAAACUCGAAGGAAAACGUCGAUUAUACGAGUGGCCAUUAUCGCUUUCCAUUCUUUUUUAAGAUCGGCGACUGUUCCACUUGGCUAUUCGUCGCCUUAUCUAAUCGUGCAGUCGCUAUCGGUUCUAGUAUCCAGUCGUCGCUGAUUUCAAAUUUGAACAUUUUCCAUCAAAAACAAAACCUCCUCGGCGUUAUCUAAGAGUCGCGGAUGAUGUCACACGGUGGUCGAGCGUUACGUGCGAUUUUGCGAAUCGACGCAAUUACAUCUGCCUAUCGUGGUUGAUCGAUUAACGAGAAAUUCAAGGUCCCUUUGCUCAACUCUGGAGUUAGACCGUAAGGCAGGAACCGAGUCAACGCUCGCGAAAGUUUUCUUGCGAGUACAUUAUAUUUGCUUGUACCAACGUAAAUAUAUGCGGAAUAAUAUCGGGAUAGGGAGUGGGAGUUAGUAACGUUUUCGAUCUUUUCAAUUUAAUCAGAGCGGAAGAACACCGCUGCUCGAUACAACCGGAGGAUCGCGAAGGCAAAACGCUUGAUUCCAAACACCCACUGUACGCGGUUUUUCGUACCGUUAAAUAUAACUCGGCGUCAUUUUCAAGCGUGAUUGUCUCGGGUUGCAGUUUUUAUUCGAUACGAAAACAACCUCUUACCACUCUUGAGUUGUUUCUGCUUCGAUUGCUGCUCCCUCUUGACCCCGUUACUUUCACUCGCAAUAAAAUUCUCGCUCGUCUUCGACUUCAUUAUAUCGGCUGCUCGCGAUGAUCGCGUAAUAUUCGCGAUAAUCCCACAAGGCGAUCUACACCUUCUCCUCUUCUCGUCUCUGGUCGGGCUGCGAUAAGAUAAUCGAUCCGUAUCACGAUUGGAAGCAACGAAGGAUCUAUCAAACUCCUCGAUACGAUCA